UCAUACUGUUCAAUUGCCCUGUGUCAAGCGUCAAGACCUUCAUGUUUCUGGGAAUUACGGUCUAUCAGGACCUGAAUUGGGAGAUCAACAUCAACUCCAUCCUCAAAAAGCCCCAGCUGAGGAUGUACUUCCUGUGGCUUCUGAGGAAGCAUGGCCUGCCACAGGAGCUGUUGAGGCAGUUUUCCAAUAUCAUCGAAUUAGUCCUGGUUCUUCCAUCACAGUCUGGUUUGGUGAUGCUACAAAAAAGGACAAACGCCGACUGCAACGGAAAUCAUAACUGCUGAAAAGAUUGUAGGCGGCCAUCUACCCACCCUUGAGGACUUGCACGCUGCCAGAACUAAGACAAGAGCAUGCAAAAUCCUCUUUGACCCUCCACAUCCUGGUCACCACCUCUUCCAGCUCCUUCCCUCAGGUAGGCACUACCGAACAAUGCAAACUAAAACAAGCAGACAUUCCAACAGCUUCUUCCCUCUUGCCAUUAACUUCUUAAACACUUAAUUUACAAUUCCAUUCCAACAUGCUGCCAAUUUUUUGUCUUGAGUUUGUUGUCACAUUUCUGUCGGGCCAAUUUUUCAUUACUCGUGCACUCACUGAAAUAGGCUCGCCACGCUGCACUAUUUGCAUAUCUGUUGUUGACCAAUACUGGCCACUGAUGUGCCUGAGUAACAUCUGCAACAUUUGCACAAUCGACAUUCUCCCAGAUUAUCGCACUACUAGUCACUUUAAACUGCAUACAUUUCUUGACCAUUACGCCCUGAAUUAGUCACCAGCCAAUCACAGGGAACACAUAGACAAACAACCAUUCGCACUGACAUUCACACCUACAGACAAUUUAGAGUCCAUGCAUGUUUUUGGAAUCUGGGAGGAAACCGGAGUACCUGGAGAAAACCAACGUGGGCACGAGGAAAAAAUGCAAACUCCACAUAGGUGAGGCGUUUGAACACCAGUCCUCAGAACUGUGAGGCGGAUGUGCUAACAACCGAACCCAGUGAAGAUUCAAGCAGUCGUUGAUUGGCCCAUUCCCUACACCUGUAAAGAGCUGCAACGUUUCCUGAGAUUUGCCAAUUUCUACCAAAGAUUCAUCAGUAAUAAAAGUGGCCAUACGUCUCACCAGCCUCACCUCCACCAGCUCUCCCUUCCAGUGGACUCCUGCUACAUCCCAAGCCUUCGAGCGUCUCAAUGAACUAUUCACCAGUGCACCCGUCCUGAGACACCCGGACCCCUCCCUCCAAUUUGUUGUAGAGGUUGACGCCUCUGACACUUGAGCAGCGACUGUUCUCUCCCCGAAGGAACCUUCUUUUCCCGUCGCCUCUCUCCGUCGGAACGCAACUAUGACGUUGGAAAUCAGGAACUGUUAGCCAUUGUCUGGGCUUUAGAUGAAUGGAGGCAUUUGCUGUAGGGGAUCGUUACUCCCUUCAUCAUCUGGACCGACCAUUAAAAUCUUGCUUACCUCCAUUCCGCUAAACGGUUGAAUCCCCGUCAAGCUCUUGGGCACUAUUCCUCAGCCGAUUUAAUUUCAGCCUCUCCUUCCGCCCUGGUUCCCGUAACGGGAAGCCUGAUGCCCUCCCUUCCUGCCUCCUGCUUUGUUGGCGCGACCACGUGGGAGAUUGAACGGGUGGUUAAGGAGGCUCAGACGUCACAACCGGAUCCCAAGACCGGACCUCCUAAUCGACUGUUCGUGCCCAAUUCCGCGCGCUCUGACGUCCUCCAGUGGGCCCACAAUUCUAAGUUUACCUGUCACCCCGGAAUCACCCACAACAUCCAGUUCAUUCAACAACACUUCUGGUGGCCCAGCCUGGUUAACUCAUUUAAUCCCAGCCAUUUUUCAAAAGAGAACACCGCUCAGUACCAGCCAUUUGAGAGGAUUUUGACCGAUCUUUCAAGGCACACAGAAUGUUGUGUUCUAUGGCUAUGUAAACAUGACACCCACCAAAAAAAAAAAAAAAAAAGAUUAGAGUUCCAUCUUUCAAUCAAAAAAAAGUUUCUACCGUUUUCCAUUCUUUAGUAAUUUGUGGUGGAACAUAGGUAAGUAAUACCAUCCAUCCAUCCAUCCAUUUUCUGAGCCGCUUCUCCUCACUAGGUUCGCGGGCGUGCUGGAGCCUAUCCCAGGUGUCAUCGAGCAGGAGGCGGGGUACACCCUGAACUGGUUGCCAGCCAAUCGCAGAGCACAUACAAACAAACAACCAUUCGCACUCACAGUCAUGCCUGCGGGCAAUUUAGAGUCUCCAAUUAAUGCAUGUUUUUGGGAUGUGGGAGGAAACCGGAGUGCCCGGAGAAAACCCACGCAGGCAUGGGGAGAACAUGCAAACUCCACACAGGCGGGGCCAGGGAUUGAACCCGGGUCCUCAGAACUGUGAGGCUGACGCUCUAACCAGUCAUCCACCGUGCCACCGUAAGUAAUACCAAAAUUCUAAAUUGUAUGAUGCACUGCUGUCAUCCAGUGUCCGUUUUUAUGGGGAUUAAAAUUGCUCUCUGGGUUAAUCCUAUGGUGAGGAGUGACGUCAGCCCCCUUCUGAAGCCUAUGGCGCACAAUAACGUAAAAGACGUAAAACUAUGUCUUUGGGAUUAGAUGAUCAAGUUCUAGAAGACGUGAAACUAAGUUUUUGGUAUUAAAUGGAUUAAAGGCACCCGGGAAUUCGUCCUUGCUCCGUCUGUGCCCGAGGCAAGGCUUCACAUCAACCCCCAGCUGGAUUGCUGUGCCCCUUACCCAUUCUGAGCCCCCCUGGUCCCACAUCUCCCGGGACUUCGUCACCAGCCUACCCCCAUUUGAAGGUAACACUGUCAUCCUCACCAUUAUUGACCGGUUCUCCAAGUGUGUUCACUAUGUACCUCUUCCCAAAUUGCCCUCUGGUUUUGAAACUGUUAACCUCCUUGUCAAUCAUGUGUUUUAAACUCCACGGAAUUCCGUUGGACUUCGUCUCGGACCGAGGGCCGCAGUUCUCCUCCCAAGUUUGUAAGGAGUUCUGUAAGGUGGUGGGCGCAGCAGCCAGUCUGUCUUCUGGAUACCAUCCACAGUCCAACAGCAAAUCAGAGUCUUGAGUCGGCUCUUCGCUGCGUUACCGCACGUAAUCCCACCUCCUAGAGUACCUUUCUCCCUUGGAUUGACUAUGCCCACAACUCCCUCACCAGCUCCGCCACAGUUCCUUUUUUAGAACUUGGGGGGCGCUUGGUGCCUCACCUUCCCUGCUCUCUCUCUCACUGGUCACCACCACCCCCUCACCUGUGCACCUGUUCAUCAGCACUCAUCACUGCCGGUAUUUAAGAUCGCCAGAUCCAAGAGUUCGGCGCCAGAGUAUGGACGUACACUAGUGUGCUCCUUCCGUGUCACCUGCCUCGCCGUCUGUCCCAACCACGCCACCAAGCACUUCCUCCUGCCCGAGCCCCCCCACUUCCUGCAUGUUCCCUGCUUCGGCCAACCACCCUCCCUCCUCGAACAUCCAGCCUCCGAGAUAUCCUUCAAUAAACCAUUCUAAGUUAC